AAUCCGGUUGAUCCUGCCGGACUCGACCGUUAUCAGAGUGAGAUUAAGCCAUGCAAGUCGUAUAUCACCAGUUGCGGUGGUAUGGCGUACGGCUCAGUAGUAUAUAGUUAACUCACCCUAAGGAUGUGGAUAAUCCCGGGAAACUGGGGCUAAUCCGCAAUUGGUAUUAAUAUCUGGAAUGAUAUAAUGCUAAAAUGAGCAUAUAGGCUCACUUUAUACGCUCGCCUUAGGACAGGACUAUACCCGAUCAGGUAGUUGGCGGGGUAAUGGCCCACCAAGCCGGUG
rnacentral:rRNA from 1 species